AUGGCGUCCUACAGGCUGCUCGUGAUCCUGGUCUUCUCCGCGCUCCUCCUCGACGUCGCAGUCGCCGACACCUACCCGGCCGACUGCCCCUACCCGUGCCUGCUGCCGCCGCCCACGCCCCCGGCCUCCAGCGCCGACUGCCCGCCGCCACCCUCCUCGCCAUCCGGCUCCGGCUCUGGCUACGCGUACCCACCUCCGUCGUCCUCGGGGAACUCCCCGCCGACGCCGUCGUCCUGGAGCUACCCGCCGCCCUCUGGGGGCUACAUUCCCGGCUUCUACCAGCCUCCCGCCGGCGGGGGAGGUGGUGGUGGCGGAGGCGGAGGAGGUGGCGGCAACUUCGGGCCUGCGCCACCGCCGCCCAACCCCAUCCUGCCGUGGUACCCCUGGUACUACCGGUCCCCGCCGUCCUCGUCCGCGACCAGGGGCAGCGCCUCGGCGGUCGCGCUCUGCUUGGUGACCGCCGUAACUGCCACUGCUGCCCUCGUCGGUUACUAG
rnacentral:rRNA from 1 species